CUUUUUAUCAUUGUAUUACCUACAUUCUCAUUGCCUGUUCUUGCUGUAGAAAUUUGUCGAUGACGAUACUUCUAGUAAAAGGCAAUGAAGUCUGACAGUGAGGAAAACAUAGAUGAAGAUUCAGAUGAAGCUGCUAACAAACAGGAAGGCUAUGGAUCUGGGAAAGAAAAGGCAGGGAAGAAGUUAUCGGAGGUAAAAGAAUCUUCAGGUAAAAAGAAGUCAAACACAGGGAGUGGCCACAAAUCAGGUUCUCCAAAUAAAAUUAUAAAAAAUCUGGAAAAAAGUAUCAACCAAGAUUCACGAGGAAAAAGAAAGCCCCAAUGAUAGUACCAAGGUAAUUAUAAAAUUAUAAAAAGUAUCUACAAAUAUAAAACGCUAUAUGCCUUAAAUAAAAAUAAUUAACAUCAGAACUAUUUACUCGUAUUUGCAUCACAUUGCAUUCGUUUGAAUCACUGCGAUGGGGCAAAAAAUGCAAUACCAUAUACAGGAAACCCAAAUAUAGCAAACAAGCAUUUUUGGAUUGGAUUGCAAUCAAAAGCUCUAAUUUUACUCAUUUACAUUCAAAAUUGGGCGCAACAAGGCAGUUGGUGUGAAUUGAUAACCCAUCAGUUGGAAAAAGGCCAACAAGCAUCUAAUGAACACACGAAUGGGAAUGGCAAUCUACAUAAUAUAUUGGACCCACCUAGGAAAAUGAAAAGGAAGGAGGAGCUCACCAUGGAAGACGUACAGACAGAUAUUGCCACGGUUCUUUUUCUUGUAGAUGAUCUGCGAUAGACGGUGCAAAAUCAUGUUGAAAAUCAAAAUGAUUAAUUUAGGCAGUUUUUGUUUGUAGGAAAAGCAGAGAGCCAAGGCAAAAGAGAAGCUUGAUAAGUGUGUAAAAGACAAUCUGUUGGAUCCUUGGUAUUCCAACUCCGAAAGCAAACAUUAGAAAGGUUUUAUUUUCCUGCCUUGUUUUUGAAAUUAUAAUUUGAUUAAUUCAAUACAUGGCAUUCUAAUAUAGUUUGGUUAACUCAUAUAGGAAGAUAUUGUGUCAAAGCUGUUGGACUUCAUUGCUGAACCUCACUCUGCAGCUGAAUCUUGGGGCUCUUAUGACCAGGUUACAACACAUUCGUACAUUGUGAUUCUAUUUUCUUAUCAACGAGAUGUUGUUGUUGAUGUUUUAUGGUUGAAUCAGAAUUAGCUUACAAGAUUAUUCUCUCUACAUGAUUUAUCCUUUUCCACUGGCUAGGGAUCAAAUUCUAAAAAACGCAAGAGAGGAGGUGAAAGUGCAAGUAAGACGCCUGAUGACACACCUAGUAGGUCGAGGAAGGUACAGUGCUAAAAUUGCCUUGCAUGGUGUGUUGAAUAUGAGUAUAUAACUGAAAGUUCUGAACAUGACUUAAAGCUAUGGUGUAGCCUUCCUUGGUGGCUAUUUGACCCUAAGCUCAAAUGAAGCUUUUCUUGCUUAUAUCUAUUGUGUAUUUCCAAUGAUUAUUUUAACACGGUCAUGGUCAGUUGGGCCAUCCUUCUUUUUAUCAUUGUAUUACCUACAUUCUCAUUGCCUGUUCUUGCUGCAAAAAUUUGUCGAUGACAAUACUUCUAGUAAAAGGCAGAAUAAAGCGCUCCAGUAUGAUAUUGAUGAGGAUGAAUCCAUGAAGUCUGACAGUGAGGAAAACAUAGAUAAAGAUUCAGAUGAAGCUGCUAACAAACAGGAAGGCUAUGGAUCUGGGAAAGAAAAGGCAGGGAAGAAGUUAUCGGAGGUAAAAGAAUCUUCAGGUAAAAAGAAGUCAAACACAGGGAGUGGCCACAAAUCAGGUCCUCCAAAUAAAAUUAUAAAAAAUCUGG
rnacentral:lncRNA from 1 species